UCGUCAGCUCGUGCCGUGAGGUGUUGGGUUAAGUCCCGCAACGAGCGCAACCCUCGUCGUUAGUUGUAUUUUUCUAGCGAGACUGCCGGGAGAAACUCGGAGGAAGGUGGGGAUGAUGUCAAGUCAGCAUGGCCCUUACGUCCCGGGCUACACACACGCUACAAUGGCUGGUACAGAGGGCGGCGAGCCGGCGACGGUUAGCGAAUCCCAAAAAGCCAGUCCCAGUUCGGAUUGCAGGCUGCAAUUCGCCUGCAUGAAGUCGGAGUUGCUAGUAACCGCAGGUCAGCAUACUGCGGUGAAUACGUUCUCGGGCCUUGUACACACCGCCCGUCAUGCCAUGGGAGUCUGUAAUACCUGAAGACGGUGAGCUAACCCUUAGGGGGGGCAGCUGUCUAAGGUGGGAUAGGCGACUGGGGCAAAGUCGUAACAAGGUAGCCGUACCGGAAGGUGCGGCUGGAUCACCUCCUUU
rnacentral:rRNA from 1 species